GAAAAAUAUAUGCACGGCAAGGAUGUUGCUUUAAAAACUCUGAAAAGUAAAAGUUUUUGUGGUUAGAAGCUAUGCGACACCGUAUAAUGAUGUCGUCGUCAACGUUUUAAAAAUUCAUCGAAUCAUCAGAUUCAUCAACCAAAGUCCUGGAGUCCAUGCGUAACCGUGAUCUUACAAAAGAAGGAUUUGCAGAACAGAAUAUUAGAAGCAAGAAAAGGAUGGGUUUAUAUAGAUAUUGUGCAUUGUUGUUGUGGGUUAGUCUUACAUCAUUAUUACCAAUAGUGUUAUCAAAAGAACAACUGAGUUCAAGAGAAUGUGAGAAUCUAGGUUUUUCAGGACUUGCUCUUUGUUCAGAUUGCAAUACUUUCUCUGAGUAUGUCAA
rnacentral:lncRNA from 1 species